rnacentral:rRNA from 1 species
CCUACGGGAGGCAGCAGUGAGGAAUAUUGGUCAAUGGACGAGAGUCUGAACCAGCCAAGUAGCGUGAAGGAUGACUGCCCUAUGGGUUGUAAACUUCUUUUAUAUGGGAAUAAAAUGUUCCACGUGUGGGAUUUUGUAUGUACCAUAUGAAUAGGGAUCGGCUAACUCCGUGCCAGCAGCCGCGGUAAUACGGAGGAUCCGAGCGUUAUCCGGAUUUAUUGGGUUUAAAGGGAGCGUAGGUGGAUUGUUAAGUCAGUUGUGAAAGUUUGCGGCUCAACCGUAAAAUUGCAGUUGAUACUGGCAGUCUUGAGUACAGUAGAGGUGGGCGGAAUUCGUGGUGUAGCGGUGAAAUGCUUAGAUAUCACGAAGAACUCCGAUUGCGAAGGCAGUUCACUGGACUGCAACUGACACUGAGGCUCGAAAGUGUGGGUAUCAAACAGGAUUAGAUACCCCAGUAGUC